rnacentral:rRNA from 1 species
UCAAAUGAACAAAGGGCUUACGGUGGAUACCUAGGCAUCCAGAGACGACGAAGGGCGUACUAAUCGACGAAACGCUCCGGGGAGCUGACAAGAAGCAUUGAUCCGGAGAUCCCCGAAUAGGGCAACCUCUUGAACUCUCCGCUGAAUAAAUAGGCGGAGCAGAGACAACCUGGUGAAUUGAAACAUCUUAGUAGCCAGAGGAAAAGAAAGCAAAAGCGAUUCCCUUAGUAGCGGCGAGCGAAAGGGGAACAGUCUAAACCAGAAAAAUUCGUUUUUCUGGGGUUGUGGGACAGCAUUAUGAAUGAAAACUUGCUAGGUGAAGCAACUGAAUAUUGCACCAUAGAUGGUGAAAGUCCAGUAACCGAAAGUGUGUUUUCAAUCCAGCUGAAUCCCGAGUAGCAUGGGGCACGUGAAAUCCCGUGUGAAUCCGCGAGGACCACCUCGUAAGACUAAAUACUCCUGGGUGACCGAUAGCGAAAUAGUACCGUGAGGGAAAGGUGAAAAGAACCCCCAUCGGGGAGUGAAAUAGAACAUGAAACCGUAAGCUUACAAGCAGUGGGAGGAGGUUUUGAUCUCUGACCGCGUGCCUAUUGAAGAAUGAGCCGGCGACUUAUAGGCAGUGGCUAGGUUAAGGUACAAAAACCGGAGCCAUAGCGAAAGCGAGUCUUAAUAGGGCGAUGUCACUGUCUAUAGACCCGAACCCGGGUGAUCUAACCAUGGCCAGGAUGAAGCUUUGGUGAAACUCAGUGGAAGUCCGAACCGACCGAUGUUGAAAAAUCGGCGGAUGAGUUGUGGUUAGGGGUGAAAUGCCAAUCGAACUCGGAGCUAGCUGGUUCUCCCCGAAAUGCGUUGAGGCGCAGCGGUUGGAUAGGGCUUUCUAGGGGUAAAGCACUGUUUCGGUGCGGGCUGCGAGAGCGGUACCAAAUCGAUGCAAACUCUGAAUACUAGAAACGCCUCCAUCCAACCAGUGAGACGGUGGGGGAUAAGCUCCAUCGUCGAGAGGGAAACAGCCCAGAUCACCAGCUAAGGCCCCUAAAUGGCCGCUAAGUGGCAAAGGAUGUGAGAGUGCAGAGACAACCAGGAGGUUUGCCUAGAAGCAGCCACCCUUAAAAGAGUGCGUAAUAGCUCACUGGUCAAGCGCUCUUGCGCCGAAAAUGGACGGGACUAAGCGGCCUGCCGAAGCUGUGAGAUGUCUCUAUGGAGAUAUCGGUAGGGGAGCGUUCCGCUAUAGGGUGAAGCAUCAGCGUAAGUAGAUGUGGACGAAGCGGAAGUGAGAAUGUCGGCUUGAGUAGCGAAAACAUUGGUGAGAAUCCAAUGCCCCGAAAACCUAAGGGUUCCUCCGCAAGGCUCGUCCACGGAGGGUUAGUCAGGACCUAAGGAAAGGCCGAAAGGCGUAUUCGAUGGACAACAGGUUAAUAUUCCUGUACUAUGAUGGGUUGGCACCGAGGGACGGAGAAGGCUAAGUCAGCCGGAUGCUGGUUACCGGUUUAAGCGAUCAAGGCUAUGAGAGGUAGAGAAAAUACCUUGAGCUAAGACGUAAAUACGAGGUGCUUAGGCGCUGAAGUGACUGAUGUCAAGCUUCCAAGAAAAGCUCGAAAUGCCAUAAACCCAUAGUACCUGUACCCGAAACCGACACAGGUAGGUAGGUAGAGUAUACCAAGGGGCGCGAGAUAACUCUCUCUAAGGAACUCGGCAAAAUAGCCCCGUAACUUCGGGAGAAGGGGUACCCCGUAAGGGGUCGCAGUGACCAGGCCCAGGCGACUGUUUACCAAAAACACAGGUCUCCGCUAAGUCGUAAGACAAGAUAUGGGGGCUGACGCCUGCCCAGUGCCGGAAGGUUAAGGAAGUUGGUCACCCGUAAGGGGAAGCUAGCGACCGAAGCCCCGGUGAACGGCGGCCGUAACUAUAACGGUCCUAAGGUAGCGAAAUUCCUUGUCGGGUAAGUUCCGACCCGCAUGAAUGGUGUUACGACUGCCCCACUGUCUCCAGCAUGGGCUCCGUGAAAUUGAAUUCUCCGUGAAGAUGCGGAGUACCAACGGCUAGACGGUAAGACCCCGUGCACCUUAACUGUUCCCAUUGUAUGAUGUACUGGAAUUCGAAUGUGUAGUAUAGGUGGGAGUGAAACACUUUUUCACGUUAGUGAAAUACCACCCUUUUACGAUUUUCGUCAUCUAACUUUUUAUUAAGGAAAUACUAUGGUAGACAGUUUGACUGGGGCGGUCGCCUCCUGAAAAGUAACGGAGGCGUACAAAGGUAAGCCAAAAUAGAUAAACUAUGCGCAAUGGCAGAAGCUUGCCUGACUGCAAGAAAAACAGUUCGAGCAGAGACGAAAGUCGGUCAUAGUGAUCCGGGGUUUCCUUGUGGAUGGGACCCCGCUCAACGGAUCAAAGGUACGCCGGGGAUAACAGGCUGAUGACUCCCAAGAGUUCCCAUCGACGGAGUCGUUUGGCACCUCGAUGUCGACUCAUCACAUCCUGGAGCUGAAGAAGGUUCCAAGGGUUCGGCUGUUCGCCGAUUAAAGUGGUACGUGAGUUGGGUUUAGAACGUCGUGAGACAGUUCGGUUCCUAUCUACCGUUGGAAAAUAAGCACAUUAGUGUGUUAAAAAGUUGUGGAGGCUCUUCUUUAGUACGAGAGGACCAAGAAGAAUCAACCCUGGGUGAACCGAUUGUUCUACCAAGAGCAUCGUCGGGAAGCUAAGUUGAUAUUAUAGUUGUGAGAAAGUCUGAUGUUCUUCUAAGACUGAAUCAUUCUCCAAAAAGCUUUUUUCUUACAUAAUAGACUAUUAUGAUAUUAGGAGUUUUGAAAAGUGUACCAACUGUAAAGUUAUUUUUAGCUUACAUUCCUAAUAAAAUUUUCCUUUUUUAUGC